rfam:Poecilia formosa, whole genome shotgun sequence.
CCAACGGCUCUUUUAAGAGCCACUCACUACAUCUGAAGAGCCUUA